rnacentral:rRNA from 1 species
CACGUAGGGGGCGAGCGUUGUCCGGAUUCAUUGGGCGUAAAGGGCGCGCAGGCGGCCCGGCAAGUCGGAUGUGAAAACUCGAGGCUCAACCUCGAGCGUGCACCCGAUACUGCCGGGCUUGAGGCAGGUAGGGGAGAUCGGAAUUCCUGGUGUAGCGGUGAAAUGCGCAGAUAUCAGGAGGAACACCGGUGGCGAAGGCGGAUCUCUGGGCCUGUCCUGACGCUGAGGCGCGAAAGCUAGGGGAGCGAACAGG